rnacentral:rRNA from 1 species
UACGUAGGGGGCGAGCGUUGUCCGGAUUUAUUGGGCGUAAAGAGCUCGUAGGCGGUUGGGUAAGUCGGGUGUGAAAACUCAGGGCUCAACUCUGAGACGCCACUCGAUACUGCCCUGACUCGAGUCCGGUAGGGGAGCGUGGAAUUCCCGGUGUAGCGGUGAAAUGCGCAGAUAUCGGGAGGAACACCAGUGGCGAAGGCGGCGCUCUGGGCCGGAACUGACGCUGAGGUGCGAAAGCGUGGGGAGCAAACAGG